rnacentral:rRNA from 1 species
CCUACGGGUGGCAGCAGUGAGGAAUAUUGGUCAAUGGGCGGAAGCCUGAACCAGCCAAGUAGCGUGCGGGAUGAAGGCCCUACGGGUCGUAAACCGCUUUUGCACGGGGACAACACCCUCCACGUGUGGAGGCCCGCAGGUACCGUGCGAAUAAGGGCUGGCCAAUUUCGUGCCAGCAGCCCCGGUAAUACGGAAGGCGCGAGCGUUAUCCGGAUUCAUUGGGCUUAAGGGGAGCGUAGGGGGGCGUUCAAGUCAGCGGUAAAAUCGCGGGGUUCAACCGCGCCCCGCAGUUGAAACUGGAGGCCUUGAGUGGACAAGAGGCAGGCGGAAUUCGUGGUGUAGCGGUGAAAUGCAUAGAUAUCACGAAGAACCCCGAUUGCGAAGGCAGCAUGCCGGCUUGCGACUGACGCUGAGGCUCGAAGGCGCGGGUAUCAAACAGGAUUAGAUACCCCAGUAGUC